rnacentral:rRNA from 1 species
GACGAACGCUGGCGGCGUGCCUAAUACAUGCAAGUCGAACGCUGAAGCGAGGAGCUUGCUCUUCUUGGAUGAGUUGCGAACGGGUGAGUAACGCGUAGGUAACCUGCCUUGUAGCGGGGGAUAACUAUUGGAAACGAUAGCUAAUACCGCAUAACAAUAGGUGACACAUGUCAUUUAUUUGAAUGGGGCCAUUGCUCCACUACAAGAUGGACCUAGGUUGGAUUAGCUAGUUGGUGAGGUAACGGCUCACCAAGGCGACGAUACAUAGCCGGUAUGAGAGGAUGGUCAGCAAAAAUGGAAGUGAGACACGGUCCAGACUCCUACGGGAGGCAGACGUGGGGAAUAUUGGACAAUGGGCGCAAGCCUGAUCCAGGCAUACCGCGUGGGUGAAGAAGGCCUUCGGGUUGUAAAGCCCUUUUGUUGGGAAAGAAAAGCAGCAGGUUAAUACCCCGCUGUUCUGACGGUACCCAAAGAAUAAGCACCGGCUAACUUCGUG